rnacentral:rRNA from 1 species
UAGGGAAUCUUCCACAAUGGACGCAAGUCUGAUGGAGCAACGCCGCGUGAGUGAAGAAGGUUUUCGGAUCGUAAAGCUCUGUUGUUGGUGAAGAAGGAUAGAGGUAGUAACUGGCCUUUAUUUGACGGUAAUCAACCAGAAAGUCACGGCUAACUACGUGCCAGCAGCCGCGGUAAUACGUAGGUGGCAAGCGUUGUCCGGAUUUAUUGGGCGUAAAGCGAGCGCAGGCGGAAGAAUAAGUCUGAUGUGAAAGCCCUCGGCUUAACCGAGGAACUGCAUCGGAAACUGUUUUUCUUGAGUGCAGAAGAGGAGAGUGGAAUUCCAUGUGUAGCGGUGGAAUGCGUAGAUAUAUGGAAGAACACCAGUGGCGAAGGCGACUCUCUGGUCUGCAACUGACGCUGAGGCUCAAAAGCAUGGGUAGCGAACAGG